UACGGGGGGAGUAAGCGUUGUUCGGAUUUACUGGGCGUAAAGGGCGCGUAGGCGGCCACUGCAAGUCAGUUGUGAAAUCUCCGGGCUUAACCCGGAAAGGUCAACUGAUACUGCAGGGCUAGAGUGCAGAAGGGGCAACUGGAAUUCUCGGUGUAGCGGUGAAAUGCGUAGAUAUCGAGAGGAACACCUGCGGCGAAGGCGGGUUGCUGGGCUGACACUGACGCUGAUGUGCGAAAGCUAGGGGAGCGAACGGG
rnacentral:rRNA from 1 species